AGUGAACGCUGGCGGUAGGCCUAACACAUGCAAGUCGAACGGCAGCACAGAGGAGCUUGCCCCUUGGGUGGCGAGUGGCGGACGGGUGAGGAAUACAUCGGAAUCUACUCUGUCGUGGGGGAUAACGUAGGGAAACUUACGCUAAUACCGCAUACGACCUACGGGUGAAAGCAGAGGACCUUCGGGCCUUGCGCGAUUGAAUGAGCCGAUGUCGGAUUAGCUAGUUGGCGGGGGUAAAGGCCCACCAAGGCGACGAUCCGUAGCUGGUCUGAGAGGAUGAUCAGCCACACUGGAACUGAGACACGGUCCAGACUCCUACGGGAGGCAGCAGUGGGGAAUAUUGGACAAUGGGCGCAAGCCUGAUCCAGCCAUACCGCGUGGGUGAAGAAGGCAUUCGGGUUGUAAAGCCCUUUUGUUGGGAAAGAAAUCCAGCUGGCUAAUACCCGGUUGGGAUGACGGUACCCAAAGAAUAAGCACCGGCUAACUUCGUGCCAGCCGCCGCCGUAA
rnacentral:rRNA from 1 species